rnacentral:misc_RNA from 1 species
AAACCUCAACCUCCUUGGUUUCUUCUGGAGACCAAAGAAGGCUUGGACUUUGGAGGCCUUUGCUGGCACCUCUCUUUUGAAGGCCAGCUCCUCUUAAACAAAUUAGCAGGGUCCUCUUUGCUGAUCCUUGACAUGUGAUAAGAUGUUUCCAUGUCUUGGUUUCUGGCUCUGUCACCUUUGGGACCCGCUUCUAACCGUCUUGACCUUGCAUCGAGACAACGUUCGAGCAUGUCUCCCUUUCUCGGGAAGCUCCCUCGACCCCACGAACC